GCUAGCACACCAACACCAUCCCCCCAGAUGCUUCAGUUGUUGGCUUCGAAUGGCUUACUAUUUCCAUUUCUACGGAGAACUGCCAUCUCAGGAAUCACCUCACCCUGGAGUUUAUUCCCCUCACCCACAGGGUGGCUGGCAGCCAACAGCUGACUCGUACAGAGAGUGGCACAAUGAAGAUUUGAACCCACGUAUGUCUCACUGGACGUAUGCCCAGGAACUGAUUGGGAAAGUGAGGCCCAGGGGUGCAAACCAGUCCAAUAUUAGCGGCAGAGCUCUUCCCUAGACCCGUCUUGAAGCUGCUGCCCCAUCAUUUCCUCCAGGUAGCUGGUGGAUACUGUUUAUCUGGUGCUCACUAUGCCCUAGGUAACACUGUAAGUGAUUUUCAUUAAAUUUAAUCUCAUUCAAUCUUA
rnacentral:lncRNA from 10 species